rnacentral:rRNA from 1 species
CUACGUGCCAGCAGCCGGCGGUAAUACGUAGGGUAGCGAAGCGUUAAUCGGAAUUACUGGGCGUAAAGCGUGCGCAGGCGGUCUUGUAAGACAGUCGUGAAAGCCCCGGGCUUAACCUGGGAACUGCGAUUGUGACUGCAAGGCUAGAGUGUGUCAGAGGGGGGUGGAAUUCCACGUGUAGCAGUGAAAUGCGUAGAGAUGUGGAGGAACACCGAUGGCGAAGGCAGCCCCCUGGGAUAACACUGACGCUCAUGCACGAAAGCGUGGGGAGCAAACAGGAUUAGAUACCCUGGUAGUCCACGCCCUAAACGAUGUCAACUGGUUGUUGGAAGGGUAACCUUUUUAGUAACGAAGCUAACGCGUGAAGUUGACCGCCUGGGGAGUACGGUCGCAAGAUUAAAACUCAAAGGAAUUGACGGGGAC